GUGCCAUUUACCUUCGUUUCAUUCUGGUCACCUGAAGUGAACGUGUCAGGUGACUCGCUAGGCUUGACAAGGUGAACCGGUUUGACCAGGUGAACCAGGUGACUCCCUGAUUUAUCCCACACCCACCCGUCACAUUCAGACGCUCCAUUUUGUUUUCAUUUGGAAGGCUGCCUUUCAGCGACAGAAAAACGAAGUGACGAAGAGUAAGAUCUUUUCCUGAGGAGGGGGGUGUUGCCUCUAACAUGAGUCUCUCUGAGGAACAACACACCAGCCAUGGAGCUAAGAGGUUGGAGGGAUCUAGCUCUAACAGGAGGUCACAAUCCCCAACCCCCACCUGUGUGUCCAUGAAGAGUGACCGGUCCAAUCAUCGAUUUAUCAACUUUACAGGAGGAGACUCUUCAACUGGACAGUAAGAUUAUCACUCUAGCGUGUGUGUGUGUGUGUGUGUGUAGCAGAAAGGA
rnacentral:lncRNA from 1 species